AGUCUGGUCUUGAUAGAGCUCACACUCGGUGCCGCCACAACACUCUCUGGCAGAUUGUUCCAAGAAUUCACAACUCUUACUCUGAAAAAGUUAUCCUUCACAGUUUCCUGGACUUAUGGCUUCUUCAACCUUGAGCUGUGACCCCUUGUGGGGCGAGCGUCCGCCAGCUCCAAGUGAUGUCUGGGAUGCCUACAACAGCAACAUCCACAAUAUUAGGGUGGGCCAGAAGGUGACGCUCUACAUCAAGAGCAGAAAUCUUAAAACCUCCGCUCUUUAUUAUGUCAACACUAGUACGUCCAAGAAUCUUGUAUGCUCCAUCAGUGUACUGUGCUGUGUCACCUAUAAUGUUUAACAGGAGUAAAUAAUGUUAAUAUUAACAACUUGAAUAUAAAUUUUUCAAGUUUCUCAAAUAUUGUACAAUAUUACUUAUAUAUACCGAACCUUCUACUAAACUCUUCUUCAAAUAUUGUAAGUACUGUAUUAAAAUAUUAUACUGGUAGUACUAUAAUAAUAAUGACUUUACUUUACCUUCUUAUGUAAGGGAAAUCUUAGUUUUCAUUCCCACAGAGAAUAAAUACAAUGUUCUUUAUUUUUUAUAGUCUUAUAUGAUAUAUUCUUAUUUCUAAAUCACAUUAGAGUAACAAUGUAACAAUGGCAACAUGUGAUAUUUUCUUAUUUCUAAAUCACAUUAGAGUAACAAUGUAACAAUGGCAACAUGUGAAGCCAUCUCACAGGACACAGCGGACUGGUGAUGUACCGUGUUUUGAGUUACGCACUUGUUCUGAUUGACUGAAAUCAAAACAAACAACAAUGGCGAUGCAUUCUUGAAGAAUUCCAUUAACUUUAUUUGUCCAUUGUUUUUUAUAUUUAAGCUUAGGUCAGACUGGGACUCAUUCCCUAUCUCAGAUAUAUAGAAAUUAACAUAAAA